ACUCCUACGGGAGGCAGCAGUGGGGAAUAUUGCACAAUGGGCGCAAGCCUGAUGCAGCCAUGCCGCGUGUAUGAAGAAGGCCUUCGGGUUGUAAAGUACUUUCAGCAGUGAGGAAGGUGGGUAUGUUAAUAGCAUACUCAUUUGACGUUAGCUGCAGAAGAAGCACCGGGCUAACUCCGUGCCAGCAGCCGCGGUAAUACGGAGGGUGCGAGCGUUAAUCGGAAUUACUGGGCGUAAAGCGCAUGCAGGUGGUUUGUUAAGUCAGAUGUGAAAGCCCGGGGCUCAACCUCGGAAUUGCAUUUGAAACUGGCAAACUAGAGUACUGUAGAGGGGGGUAGAAUUUCAGGUGUAGCGGUGAAAUGCGUAGAGAUCUGAAGGAUACCGGUGGCGAAGGCGGCCCCCUGGACAGAUACUGACACUCAGAUGCGAAAGCGUGGGGAGCAAACAGGAUUAGAUACCCUGGUAGGCUCU
rnacentral:rRNA from 1 species